AUGUCUGUUUUUGCUGGAAAUCAUCGCAUUUUUAUUUUUGCUACUACCAGCUUGUGUUUUUUCUGGAACCCGCAGCCAAUUUUGCUACUACCAUUUUUUGGGGUUUGCUGGAUUGCGCCAUUUUUUGCUGGAACCAGUAUCUUUUUUUCGGAAUCAGUGUAUUUUUUUUUGCUACCAACAGCUCCGCUGGCGAGCGCCGUCGUCAUCGCAUUACUGUUGCAACCAGAGGGCGAACACUGUGGUCUGGGCGGACGAUGGCGACGAGUCGUUCUUGGUGUUGGGACCGGCGGUGAGGUGCAACGACUAAUGCCGUCGAGGAUGCGCGGUGCUGCCACCGGUGAGGAGCGGCAUCGCGGCGGCGAGAAAGGGGAAGGACGCAAGGCGAACACUGUGGUCUGGGCGGACGAUGGCGACGAGUCGUUCUUGGUGCUGGGACCGGCGGUGAGGUGCAACGACUAA
rnacentral:rRNA from 1 species